rnacentral:tRNA from 1 species
GCCUGGAUGGCUCAGUCGACAGAGCAUCAGACUUUUAAUCUGAGGGUCUAGGGUUCAAGUCCUUAUUUGGGCA